rnacentral:lncRNA from 1 species
UUAGAUUGCAUUUCUUUCUCCUUCUAUUCUUUUCUUUUUUUCCAGAGCAUUUUUCUCCCUUAGUCACAAAGUCACGCUGCUGAAUGUUUCACAGGUAACCCCUGCUUCAGGAGUGAACUGAGAAGAGAGGCCUUUACAGAGGAACAGAGGCAUUCCUUAAUUUGGAGGUUUAGAGAGAGGGAGACAGAGCUACAACCCAAGACCCAAGAGACUGCAAUACAGAUAUAUUUAUAAGUACUUCGAAGUGUGCAUUUGGCUGGCAGCCUCAGAAGUGACAUGAGUGCCUGGUGGUGUGGAGCACCUGCCUGCAAAGCAAGAUUUCAUCAUUCCCUUCUCAUCUCUCCCCUGAAUGAGAGGGUCCACUCACAAACCAGCAUUAGAAGAACACCGCUAAGGAAAAAGACUUCUUCAAAUAGAGUUGGACGUGAACUUUUGUACGAGGACAUCUUCUGUACCAAAGAAAUACCUAGCACAAAUUUUAUCGACUCCACUCGUGAUUUCUGCAAAGAAAGGCUUGUGAAAAGGUGAAUGCUGGAUUAAGUCUUCAGGAUUAAGAAGUUGUUUAAGUACCAUCUCACAGGCGUUCUGCAUCUCCGGCUAGAGCUACCCAUCUGUCUCUGUUGAACAGGUGGGUGCAGGUACGCACUUCAAUGCCACUAAUACUCCACAGGCUGCAGUUUCAAGCCUGCCUUCUAAAUCU